GAACAUUUAGUCCAUCUGCUGCUAAUUUUCACUGCCUAAAUAGACUGUAUAUCUCCAAAAGCUGAAAAAACAGCUAUCAAAAGUGAUACAAAUCUGGCAGAGUAGGACACCUUACUCCUGAACAUUCACACAUUAACUAAAUAUUAAUGAAAACACACAAACAAAGGAUUAGUAUGGCUGGAUUCUUGGGUUUACUAAAAACAAAACAAAAAACAAGGAUACUCAUUCAUAGACACCAAAUUAACUUCAUUUGGUCUAGGUGACUAGACCUAAGUCAACUAUGUAUAUCAGGAUCUUACUUUUGUAACCUCUGUCAAUCAUCCCACUGCAUUUGUUUACAGCUUUUAAAUGAUUUCAAUACUUUGACAUGCUUUAUAAGAACAGUGUGGUCAUUGACGUCACUCUAAGCAAUUGUAAUGCACCACUGUCUUCAAAUUCAAUGGCUGGUGCCAAUGGUGUUGGUGUCAUUUUUCUUAAUGUACCAUUAACAGCUUCCAGCACAAUAUGAAGUAAAUGAAGUGGGCUGG